UACUCGAUCCUAUUUAUACAAAAAAAAAAAAUAGAUACAUUUAUAGUGAUAGGAAGGGAAGAGAACAUACUUUAGGGAGAUGGGGAAAGAGUUUCUUGAGAGUAUGAAGAUGUGCAUUAAUUCUUUCUCUGCGUUUACGCUCAGCCAUGGCAUGUGUUAAAGCUGCAUCUUUUGAUUUAUUUUUCCUUGUUGAUUUUUCAUAUUCAUCAACCAUAUUGCUACUCCUCUGAUGAAGAUGUUGCACAGAAUUUGCACGCUGUAAAAACCCAUUACAGCCUUGUAAUGAAGAUAACAUUUUCACUUUCCCACUUCCUAAAGAAACAAGAAAUAAACAAGGGUAGCUCUUUAAAGAGGAGAGAAAUAAUCAUAAAGAAAGAAAGAUAUGAUUGUGAGAUUAUUAUUAUGAAGGAAGAUCAGAGUUGGGUACGUAAGAAAGAUUUGGGAUGAUGACAUA
rnacentral:lncRNA from 1 species